rnacentral:rRNA from 1 species
GAUGAACGCUAGCUACAGGCUUAACACAUGCAAGUCGAGGGGAAACGACAUCGAAAGCUUGCUUUUGAUGGGCGUCGACCGGCGCACGGGUGAGUAACGCGUAUCCAACCUGCCCAUCACUUGGGCAUAACCUUGCGAAAGUAAGACUAAUACCCAAUGAUAUCCCACGAAGGCAUCGGAAUGGGAUGAAGGAUUUAUCUGUGAUGGAUGGGGAUGCGUCUGAUUAGCUUGUUGGCGGGGUAACGGCCCACCAAGGCAACGAUCAGUAGGGGUUCUGAGAGGAAGGGCCCCCACAUUGGAACUGAGACACGGUCCAAACUCAUACGGGAGGCAGUAGUGAGGAAGAUUGGUGAAUGGGAGAGAGCCUGAACCAGCCAAGUAGCGUGCAGGAAGACGGCCCUCUGGGUUGUAAACUGCUUUUAUAAGGGAAUAAAGUGGGUUACGUGUGACUUUUUGCAUGUACCUUAUGAAUAAGGACCGGCUAAUUCCGUG